UGGGGAAUAUUGGACAAUGGGCGAAAGCCUGAUCCAGCAAUGCCGCGUGAGUGAUGAAGGCCUUCGGGUUGUAAAGCUCUUUCGACGAGGACGAUGAUGACGGUACUCGUAGAAGAAGCCCCGGCUAACUUCGUGCCAGCAGCCGCGGUAAUACGAAGGGGGCUAGCGUUGUUCGGAAUUACUGGGCGUAAAGCGCACGCAGGCGGCGUGUUUAGUUAGAAGUGAAAGCCCUGGGCUCAACCCGGGAAUUGCUUUUAAUACUGGCACGCUAGAAAUCAGGAGAGGGUAGCGGAAUUCCCAGUGUAGAGGUGAAAUUCGUAGAUAUUGGGAAGAACACCGGUGGCGAAGGCGGCUACCUGGCCUGACAUUGACGCUCAUGUGCGAAAGCGUGGGGAGCAAACAGGAUUAGAUACCCCCGUAGUCC
rnacentral:rRNA from 1 species